UUUCUAUUCCCUAACCCUAACCAGUAGGCUCCAAGGCUCCAAGUCUCCAACUCUAAACUUCAACCUCAUCACUCAUCAGACUAUCAACAAAAAUGGCCGAAUAUGUUGCCUCUACUGCUGUUGAAAGUGUGAAAAACCAGGUAAAGGAAUACUGGCUUAGAAGGGCUGAGAGAGAACUGGAAGAAAUCUAGAAGGCUAGAACUUCGAAGAGGAAAUAGAUGGCAUCCGUCAAGCAGUUCAAAUGGUGUCCUCAAUUCUAAAGAACAUAUUUGCACUGCAGAUUCAAGACAAACAAGCAAAAAUCAAGACAAAAUUUCAGGUACUACUUACUUGAAAAUUAUGAAUCUCUGAAUGUGCAAGUGAUUAGGGCAGGGUUUGCUUUUCAGAUUCAAGUCCUCGGCUCCUUGCUUUCAUCUGCUGCUUGUUGUUUGCCGAAAUAUAAGAAACAGAAUUUCAUAUUUUCUAUUGCUUUUGAGUUUUGACUACUUUUUUCUAUUUUUUUGGACUUCUUAUUACUUUUUUUUGAUUGAAAGCUCUCUGAUUUUGCAGGUAGGAGAAUAUAUUCCCUUUUGUUUUAUUGUGUUUCACUGUUUCUGUUGAUUUUUGUUUGAGGGGAUGACUUUUUUUAAAAAUUUACGGCAACAGAAAAUAACGGGAAUAGCGGCUUGUUAUUGCCGCAAUUGGCCGUUACCCGUUAAAUUGCGACCGCGACCCACCGCUAUUGGCGUGACUCCGCUUCACACUGCUAUUUUCAGCAAAAGCGGUUUCGGACGGUGCCGCUACUGCUAUAUAACAGCCGCUAUUCUGAUAUCGGACCGUUAUUUAAAUCCCUGGUUUCAAUAGUAUAAAUGCCACAAAAAAACCCUAAAUCAUUAGUCCCCUAGCCACUUUAAACAAAUCUAAAAGCUGAAUCUUUCCCCUCUACCGCCUCCGAAUGCGAAACCCCCUCCGGCUCCGAUUUGAACGGAGUGAACAGGGCUUCGUUGGCACCUUUACAAAGGUAAGAUCCUCUUCUUUUCUUUUUAUUUUGAGUAUAUCAAAAAAGAAACAAGAACAGAACGAUAGAAAAAGGGAAAAAAAACUUUGAAAAAAAAAUCACCUUCAAAAACUCAAUCUUUUUGCUUUUUUGAUUUUUUUUCUAUUGAUAUUCUGUGUCCCCUUACAAAUUCUGGAAAAUGGCUUUAUAUAGCCGAAAAAUAAAAUUCAAUCGAAAUUACAAAAGAAAAGAAAAUAUAUUUCAUUCUCUCUUCUUUUUCAUUUUUUUAUUGUCUGCUCCCUUUUUGUUGUUGCUUGUUGGUUCUGCUUUGUUGCGUUGUAGGUACAGGUACGGAGGCCGACGUGGAGGUACGAAGGUGGCCGUAAGGAGGCGUGCGUGGCUGAGGCAGCAACGGCUGCUGAAACAGGCUAGGGUUUCUGCUGGUCGUUGGGCCACAUAGCAAUUGGGUCACCGUUUUAGGAAUUUAUGUUGGGUUUGGUUAAAUUUGGGUUUAGGGUUUUGAGUAAUCGGGCCAAUCUAAAUGGACUUUAAUAAAUUUUUAUUUUUAUUUUUA
rnacentral:lncRNA from 1 species